rnacentral:tRNA from 1 species
UGCGGAGUAGAGCAGGUAGGUAGCUCGUUGGGCUCAUAACCCGAAGGUCGCAGGUUCGAAUCCGGCCUCCGCUA